rnacentral:rRNA from 1 species
UACAGAGGGUGUGAGCGUUAAUCGGAAUUACUGGGCGUAAAGCGCACGUAGUCGGCUUUGCAAGUCGGGUGUGAAAUCCCCGGGCUCAACCUGGGAACUGCAUCCGAGACUGCAUUGCUAGAGUAUGGGAGAGGGAAGCGGAAUUUCUGGUGUAGCAGUGAAAUGCGUAGAUAUCAGAAGGAACAUCAGUGGCGAAGGCGGCUUCCUGGACCAAUACUGACGAUCAGGUGCGAAAGCGUGGGGAGCAAACAGG